AAACGAGUAAAUCUCAUCCUAAUCUGGUUGCAUUUUCAAUACUUUUUGCUACCGAUUUGGUUUGGGAUUGGCUUGUCU
rfam:Caenorhabditis briggsae complete genome, chrV